rnacentral:rRNA from 1 species
AGAUUGAACGCUGGCGGCAUGCUUUACACAUGCAAGUCGAACGGCAGCACGGGGGCAACCCUGGUGGCGAGUGGCGAACGGGUGAGUAAUGCAUCGGAACGUAUCCUUAAGUGGGGGAUAACGCAUCGAAAGAUGCGCUAAUACCGCAUAAUCUCUGAGGAGAAAAGCAGGGGAUCGCAAGACCUUGCGCUUUUGGAGCGGCCGAUGUCUGAUUAGCUAGUUGGUGAGGUUAAAGGCUUACCAAGGCUUCGAUCAGUAGCUGGUCUGAGAGGACGACCAGCCACACUGGGACUGAGACACGGCCCAGACUCCUACGGGAGGCAGCAGUGGGGAAUUUGGACAAUGGGGGCAACCCUGAUCCAGCCAUGCCGCGUGAGUGAAGAAGGCCUUCGGGUUGUAAGCGUCUUUCGACGCCGGAACGAAACGGUUACGGUUAAUACCGUGACUACGUAGACGGUACGGAAGAAGAAGACGACCGGCUAACUACGUGCAGCAGCCGCGUAACG